rnacentral:rRNA from 1 species
GAUGAACGCUAGCGAUAGGCCUAACACAUGCAAGUCGAGGGGCAUCACAUGAAGUAGCAAUACGGAUGGUGGCGACCGGCGCACGGGUGAGUAACACGUAUGCAACCUGCCUUCAACAAGGGGAUAACCCGUUGAAAGACGGACUAAUACCCUAUAACACAGGGGUCCCGCAUGGGAAUAUUUGUUAAAGGACAACCGGUUGAAGAUGGGCAUGCGUUCCAUUAGCUAGUUGGCGGGGUAACGGCCCACCAAGGCAACGAUGGAUAGGGGAACUGAGAGGUUUAUCCCCCACACUGGUACUGAGACACGGACCAGACUCCUACGGGAGGCAGCAGUGAGGAAUAUUGGUCAAUGGACGCAAGUCUGAACCAGCCACGUCGCGUGAAGGAAGACGGCCCUACGGGUUGUAAACUUCUUUUAUACGGGAAUAAAGUGCCCCACGCGUGGGGUUUUGCAUGUACCGUAUGAAUAAGGAUCGGCUAACUCCGUGUCAGCAGCCGCGGUAAUUACGCAGCGA